AGUGAACGCUGGCGGUAGGCCUAACACAUGCAAGUCGAACGGCAGCACCGUAAGAGCUUGCUCUUACGGGUGGCGAGUGGCGGACGGGUGAGGAAUACAUCGGAAUCUACUUUUUCGUGGGGGAUAACGUAGGGAAACUUACGCUAAUACCGCAUACGCCCUACGGGUGAAAGCAGGGGAUCUUCGGACCUUGCGCGAUUGGAUGAGCCGAUGUCGGAUUAGCUAGUUGGCGGGGUAAAGGCCCACCAAGGCGACGAUCCGUAGCUGGUCUGAGAGGAUGAUCAGCCACACUGGAACUGAGACACGGUCCAGACUCCUACGGGAGGCAGCAGUGGGGAAUAUUGGACAAUGGGCGCAAGCCUGAUCCAGCCAUACCGCGUGGGUGAAGAAGGCCUUCGGGUUGUAAAGCCCUUUUGUUGGGAAAGAAAAGCAGCAGGUUAAUACCCCGCUGUUCUGACGGUACCCAAAGAAUAAGCACCGGCUAACUUCGUG
rnacentral:rRNA from 1 species